GUGAGGCCUCUGCGGCCGCCAUCGAAGGGUCCCACCGCAUCAAGCCACAUGAUUGUGCGCCCCUGCGCUGUGUGAAAGGGUGGCCCCAGGCCUGAGUCCCUGGGAGGGGAAAGGGCUGUGUGACAUCCCUGUUAUCACGGAUCAGGAAAAAGAGCUCUCGUACCAAUGAGCAGAUUUAGAGGGACUGUUGGAGACACCUCCCUCUUCAAGACAUUGUAGGGUGGCCGUUGACUUCGAAGAUGGUCCUCACUCGUUCUGGGUUAUCACCAUGUUUGUCUUGGAGAGAGCCACCCAGACCCCUGGCCUUGUCAUUGGCACAGGAAGAACAAUCUAUUUACCCAGCAGUGGUCAACAGAUAUUUGCUGCUUCCUGUUUUGCAUGUUCGUGUAAUUUCCUGGGCACAUCUCAAGCAUCACACUUGACGCAUGCUUUGAUACUAAUUCUCCAGUGCCUGCAUCGUGGCC